rnacentral:rRNA from 1 species
AUACGUAGGUGGCGAAGCGUUAGUCCGGAAUUACUGGGUGUAAAGGGCGUGUAGGCGGGACUGUAAGUCAGAUGUGAAAUUCCAGGGCUUAACCCUGGAGCUGCAUCUGAAACUAUGGUUCUUGAGUGCUGGAGAGGAAAGCGGAAUUCCUAGUGUAGCGGUGAAAUGCGUAGAUAUUAGGAGGAACACCAGUGGCGAAGGCGGCUUUCUGGACAGUAACUGACGCUGAGGCGCGAAAGCGUGGGGAGC